rnacentral:tRNA from 1 species
GUAAAGAUAAGCUAAAUUUAAGCUUUAAGGUUCAUACCCUUACAAUAGAAAAUUCUUCUUUACA